GGACGUGAGGACAAUCUCAAUCUGUCACCUCAUUGAUUGCCAGGGUUGAUUCGGCUAAUCUGGCUGGCUAGACGGGUGUUCCCUUCCUCACUGCUCCGUGUGCGUCCCUCCCGAAGCUGCGCACUCUGUCGAAGAGGACAGCCUCCUCCGAGGAGAUGGAUCAGUCUUCCAUAGAGGGUAGAGGGUAUACGAGUAGCUGCGCUCCCCUGCUAGAACCUCCCAACAAGCUCUCAAAAAGGAUUUUACUACACCUGUGUUCAUAGCAGCACUAUUUAUAAUAGCCCAGACACAUACACAACACAGAUGCUCAACACAACAGAAUACUCCUCAGCUGU
ensembl:misc_RNA 7SK 7SK RNA